ACUACAUAACUGCUCAUAGUAAAUGUAUUAGUUAAUCUUCUUAGUCUCUUAUAAAUAUAAUCCAAUAUAUUUAUACUCUAACUACUAUACCAUGAGGGGUGUCUUUAAUUAUAUGGGCAAGGACUCUCUCACCAAUGGACAAAAAUUCUUUUCUCUUGAAUUCUAUAUCAUUUCUACAUUUUAGGCUCAAACCUCUUCCUCCAUGGAACUGCAAUGAGCAAGAGUCCCUUGUCAACGAGCAAAGCCAAAUUCUUAGCAAUUGAUAAAGCCAUUCACUCCAUGGACUGAAAGCCACUCUCUUUAAUGGGUGAAGUCACUCUCCAUGGGCUAAGGCCUCUCUAUGAGCAAAGCCAAAUAACAUUUCCACAAUAUUCCUAUUUAUAGUGUUAGUCACCUCAAAUCUAAUUUAAUUAGAAAUCCAACUCAAUUUAAGAAUAAUAUUAGAUGAGAGUUUUUCUCUAUAUAGGAAAUAUACAUUCGUCCUAUUAAGAAAUAUUUUUUUCUCUCAAAUUAUAAAAAGGUUUCUUCAAAUUCCAUUAGGAUUUUGAAUCAUAAAUCUAGCAACUAUUUUCUCACUCAAUUAUUGAAUAUGGAUGAAGAUUUGAGUUGUUUGUGUUAUUCGAAUUAGAGAUUUUUUUUUUAUUCGGAUUAGAGAAAUUUUGAGUUGUUUGUGUUGUUUAGGUAAGAAAAACCAGAGAAAUUGUAGGUUGUUUGUCGUUCUUAAAGAUUGAGAGAGGAAGUGUUUGGGUAGUUUGCAGACAUACACACGAGAGAGUUUGGAUAAUUUGGAGGACAGAGAAUAGUAGUUUACAGAGAGAAAAUAGUCACUUCUAAUAUUUUUUUUUAUUCUUUCUUUUUUUUAACAAGAUUUUUUUUUUUAAAUUCUUUCUUAAUUAACACCCUUUGUCACUUAGUUUUUAUUAAGGUUAACAAAGUUUUUAAUUUUAUCAAAAAUAAAAUUUUAGUGUUUAGUUAUAUAUAAUAAUAUUCAAAUUACUUAAAUCACAUAAAACUAAAGAGUUUAAAAAUAAUUUUUUUUUCCUAAAAAUUCUCUUUUUCUUUGAAAAAUUUUUAGGGUAUAAAUAGAUAGGAUU
rnacentral:misc_RNA from 1 species